rnacentral:rRNA from 1 species
AUUGAACGCUGGCGGCAUGCCUUACACAUGCAAGUCGAACGGCAGCACGGGAGCAAUCCUGGUGGCGAGUGGCGAACGGGUGAGUAAUAUAUCGGAACGUGCCCAGUCGUGGUGGAUAACGCAGCGAAAGCUGUGCUAAUACCGCAUACGAUCUACGGAUGAAAGCGGGGGAUCGCAAGACCUCGCGCGCUUGGAGCGGCCGAUAUCAGAUUAGCUAGUUGGUGAGGUAAAGGCUCACCAAGGCGACGAUCUGUAGCUGGUCUGAGAGGACGACCAGCCACGCUGGAACUGAGACACGGUCCAGACUCCUACGGGAGGCAGCAGUGGGGAAUUUUGGACAAUGGGCGCAAGCCUGAUCCAGCAAUGCCGCGUGCAGGAUGAAGGCCUUCGGGUUGUAAACUGCUUUUGUACGGAGCGAAACGGUCUUUCCUAAUACGAGAGGCUAAUGACGGUACCGUAAGAAUAAGCACCGGCUAACUACGUGCCAGCAGCCGCAGUAA